AUGUCCCCAGACAGCAGCCCCCCCUCCGGUCCCCGUGGUCCCUGCUCUGGGGAGCCCAGCACCCUGCCGUGGCCUUGGGGACACCGGGGACACCGAGCAGAGGCCGGACCCUGCCAGGCUGCCAGCCUCCGAGGAAGCCCCAAAUCCCUGUGGGCUCCCUGGGAAGCCACGGCCCCGAGGACGCUGGGGCAGGGCUGCCAGCCUCGGGGCUUCCACACGCUGCUGGGAACCCUGGGGAGCCGGCGCUUGUCCCGGCUCGCCCCAGACCACCCAAAAAACGGAGGGAAGGAGCCGCCUGACUCACGGCCGUGCUCUGGGAGCCGAAAUCUCCCGCCCAUCAGCAGCACUGACGUCGCUGCCGCAGCCCGUGCCCGCUGCCUUGGUGUGGGUCAGCGCCAGCAGCCUCGGGGCCAAAGCCCCAGGGCCAGGGCUGGGGCGGGAGGAGGAAGGGGGCAGGAAGCCCCCGGCCCCCUGUGCUGCAAACACUGGCACCAGGCAAAGCCCCGGCCAAGCCCUGGCCGUGCCCUUACACCCGUCCCGCAGGCAGGGAGCGGCUCAGAGCUGAGAGGGGCAGGUACGGGGGUCGGGGUGGCCGGGCCGUGCGCUGACCCCAGCCCCGGGGCAGGGGUCCCGGCCGGGGGCACGGCCGCAGGUCCUGGCGUCCCGCGGGAGCCAAGCCGCAGGCUGCAGCCCGGCUCCUGCGACUGCGUCCGCCGGGGGAGCGUCGCACAUCAGGACUCAAUUAAUGGCAGGAAUUGUUUUGUGAAAUACCAAACCCUUACGGCACUCACUGAUAUUAGGAACAUAUUUGAUUUGCAUUGCUGGUUGCUCUCUCUUUUUUUUUUUUUUUUUUUUUCCCUCCUCUCUCUCCCCUUUCCUUUCUUGUUGCUGCUCCGAGAGACUUGGCCAGGGUGGAGAAACCCCAACACAAAGCUGAAACAGAUGCUGGCGGUGGCCUGGUGCAGCCGGGGAGCUGGGGCCGAGCAGGGCACACUUCACCUGCUCCCCACCACGGGGACGCUGCCGCUGCUGCCAGCUCGGGCCAGUGCCCAUGCCGGGACGGAUGCUACCGGGGGGACACAGCUCCUGGGACGCGCUGCUGCACGCACCAGGCACCCCCCUGCACGCCCCCCCUGCCCCACAACUGCUGCCGCCCUGCAGGUCCCACGGCACGGGGGCACAGCCCCGUGGGAUGCAGCAGCGCAACAAAACCAGACCCGCAGCACCUUUUAUUCGUUUUUUAAUUGUAAUCCAAAUUGUAACACAGCCGUAAAAUGCUCCUAA
rnacentral:lncRNA from 1 species